rnacentral:lncRNA from 1 species
AUCAUCUGGGCAUGUAUGGUAUCUGUAUCUACGUCAAGACCUGGGCUUUGCUCCACUUGGAGUCAGCUGAUUGACAGGAGGGCAUCUGAAAUUGAGAGGAGAUUUCAGGACGUUUACCCAGCCCUUUAGUGGGGAUCUGUCCGGGACUGUGCAGUCUGAACCUGCAACUGUAAAAGUGCUGUUUGGACUGUGGACAAGUUAGGUUAUAAAUUUUGACCUCUGAAUGGACGCAACCAAUAUUAGCCUUUAAUGCAGUUAGACUCAUUUUGUCAGAGGUCUGGAAAAUUAGGAAAAACUACCAUAUGUCCAAGCCUUCAUGCUUUUCGAAAAUCAGGAUUCAUACCAUGAGGGAAGAUGCCAGCUGCUAGCUAUACCAAAGGACAGAAUGGAAAAAAGGCUCUUCACAAGCCAGAGAGCCAAACUCAGGCAGAAAGCAAUGAAGAAGAAUUAGGACUUUUAAAUGUCCUACACCCAAGCUGUUUUAGCAGCUCCAACCACCACAGCCAGAACGCACCUGGCCUCUGCUCCACCUCAACAGCUCCCACUGCAGUACCACCAUACGGGGCCCUUAGCACUGGCCUCUGCGUUGGACCGGAUUGCCUUGAUGCUACCAAGUGAGGCAUCAGACCAAUAAGAGGGAGCUACUCUGCCGCCUCAGUAUAAUGAGAGAACAGAGACGGCCUCUCCCUCCAGUGCUUGACAGGGAACAUGAUUUAGCAAGGAAUUGCCAUGGCCGGAGCAAAGGAAUUACCGUUUACAGGGAUGGCCAUGGGUGGCUUGGAUGAGAGUGGGCAACCUGUCAGACAUUACUGGACAUCCAGCCCAUUUUCAACAUCUAACUUGUGAAAUGGAAAAACUCCACCCCACUUUAUACAAUGGAUCCCCAGAAAAUGACUGAUCUCUAUGUGUCUAUCUGUGCUACCCACCAGCGUACCUGAGCAGAUGUGUAGUCUCUCCUAAAUAUGUUUCUGACUGCAGACCAAAGAAGGUCCAGAGUCUUGGUGCCUCCAUGAAACAAAUCCAAAUACCCCAAACCUGAAGGGACCAUUCUGGAUGCAAACCCUAAUUGGGGCUCCAAUUGAUAAGGGGACAUGGCCCAUCUGGAAUAUUCACAAACAUUCUUCCUGUUUGGACUCAGGAAAGGGGUACCAAAACAGGAAGCCUCACUAGGAAUGACCCCUUCCCCGCUCCAGAGACAAAGAAACAGAAGUUUCAACCAUAAACGUGGAAUGAACAAGGAAGCCUCUGCAUCAGAAAAAUCGAGGCAAGCCUCUGGAACACAGCCAGUGUGCCUAGUGUAAGGAGAAAGGCCACUGAAAGGAUGACUGUCCCAAAAGAAAGGACCAAGGGGCCAGAAAAAGGAGGAAUAUGAUGAGGAAAAAGCUCAAAGUCAAAUCAUGGAGCAGGGUCACUGCUCUGACCACAGAGAGUGAUGCCUGGGGACUCUCCUUAAUCACUCAGAGACAAUUAAAAUUUCCCCACAGGAACCCUGGGUACAACUGACAGUGAGGAAAAAGUUAAUUGAUUUCCUGGUUGAUACUGGGCAAACUAUUCAGUUUUAACACUUUAUGAGCAAAAAGCACCAAAAUGAUUGUACCUGUGAUAGGAGUUGCAAGAAUAAUGCAACAAAAGGCUUUCCUACAACCUUUAGAAUGCAAACUAGAAAGUUUGGACCUAAGGCACUGCUAUUUCUAUAUGUAAGAAUGCCCAAUUCCCUUGCUGGGAAAAGACCCAUUAUGCAAAUUAAAUACUCAAGUAAUUUAUCCCCAGAGAAACAACUAUGGCUGCAGGUCCUGCUAAAGCAAGCACUGCAACUAAGAUGUUACUCACUUGCCUUAAGAAGAAACAAGAAUUCUCCCUCAGAAGUCUAUGAGAGAGUGCGUAAUUGUGAAUAGGCAGAAGGAAUCCCAGGAAAAACAAGAAAUAUACAGUGAGUGCAUAUAGAAAAAAUAGAAGGGGCUACUGUGACCUGGGCGGCGGGGAGGAGGCGAAUAAAAAAAUCAGUAUACAUUAAGAAAGGAAGCCUUAGAAGGAAUACAGCCUGUCUUUCAAAAAUUUGAGAAGUGGACUGAUUCAUCCUUGCAGAUCCCCAUAUAAUAGCCCUAUCGUGCCUGUAAGGAAGCUACACUUCUACAAAUAUCAAUUUGCCCAAGACCUGAGAACCGUUAAUAAAAUAGUCUUGGAUAUUCACCCAGUGGUGCCUAACCCAGAUACUCUACUGACUGCUAUAUAUAGACAUUAUGAAUGCUUUUCAGUGCUAGAUCUGAAAGAUGUUUUCUUCUGCAUUCCAAUUGAAGAAAAGACCCAACAAUUAUCAUUAUUAUUUUUAAUGACAGGACCGAGAGACUAAAACAACCUUUCAAUACUGUUAGACAGUGGGGUCUCAAUGUGUUAAAAAAUGCACCAACAAUUUUUGGGGAAAUACUGGCAAAAGACUUAGGAGACCUACAACAAGAUUAAGAAGCCUGGCUACAACACAUAGAUAAUUAAUAGCCAGCCACAACUAUAGGAAAUGCUUAGCUGAUGUCAUUUUAGUUCUAAAUCACCUGGUACAAUAUGGAUACAAAGUAUUCCCAAGAAGCCCCAAAUAUGUAAGUAGAAAGUAACCUGUCUUGGCUUUAGGUUAAAGCAAGGCCAAAGGAGCCUGGUCUGGUAAAAAAAAAAAACAAAAAACAGGCAAUAGCAGCCAUAAAGCUCCAGAGAAUGGGGGCAACCAUGGGGAUUCUUAGAAAGGGUUAGCUUCUGCCAGAUUUGAUUCCUAAGUUUGGACUAAUGACUAAAACACUUUAUGAAUCCUUAAAGGAUUCACUAGACUCAGAGGCCCUUCUCUGGACAUCUAAAGGUCAACAAACAUUUUAUACCAUCAAAGAAAAGCUGAUAUCACCCCCUGCACUGGGAUACCAAAUUCCCAAAAGCUGUUCAAACUCUAUAUCCAAGAGAAACAAAGCAUAGGUGUGGGUUGUGCUAAUGCAAAUGCUGGGAGAUGCCCCACAAUCCAUGGCCUAUUUCUCUAAACAAUUACACCAAAGAUUAAGGGAUGGCUCCCCUUCCUCUGGGCAAGAGCACCCACUGUGAAGUCCUACAGGAAGUAGAACAAUUUACUCUGGGACAGCCAGUUACCUUGUUUGUACCCCAUCAGGUGCUGACUCUGCUAGAACAAACGGGAGGCUACUGGCUCACUGUGGGGUGAGUGGGCAGAUACCAGGCCAUCCUCUUAUAUGAUCCAAAUAUCACCCUACAAACCACCAUGGCUCUAAACCCUGCCACACUGCUCUCAGCCACUGAACACAAUCCUGGGUUAAAGCAUGACUGUAAAUCCUUGAUGCAGCUUAUUCAAGCAUGCUGAACCUGUCAAACUAGACAAUGAGUGCUCUGGACUUGAACUACACUGAUGGGAGCAGCUUAAUGAAAGAUGUGCACAGAGCCGGAUGUGCCACUGUGACUACCAAAAGGGUAAUAGUAGUCCAUACCCUUCCUGCAGCUACCUCCGCACAAAGAGCUGAGUUAAUUGCUCUUACCUGAGUCUUUAGAACUGUCCCAGGAAAUGGGAGUAAAGAUUUAUUCUGAUUCCAUAUAUGCAUUCCUGGAAAUGCACGCCAAUUGGGUGAUCUGGAAACAUAGAGGAGGUUGCUUGAAAUCAGAAAAUACAGACAUUAAACACCCAAGAGAAAUUCUGGACCUAGUAAAGGCAAUUGCCUUGCCUGCCCAGGCUUCCAUCAUGCACUUCCCCAACACCAGAGACAUAAUUCACAACCGAAGGUAACCAGGCAGCUGGCAAAGCUGCAAAAUGAGCUGCUUGGGAGGCACAGGUCCUGGGACAUGAAUACUCCAUUUGGAAUUACUAGAUUUUAAACCUCAUUACACUGAACAAGAUCCCAAACGUGCCCAAGCCAGGGGUUUGAGAAAAGAGAUUCCAAUUCCCCUAGAAAACUGACACCUAUAAGAUAACGCCUACAGGAUGAUGAAACCCCAAGGCCUUGGUUUAUCCAAUCUCAAAACAUCUACAUAAAGGAAUGCACUAUGGGAGUGAUGUCCUCGCCAACCUAGUACAACCACACCUCAGUAGACCACACUUUCAAAACAUCACUCGGAAAAUUACACAGGGAUGCAUCUUGUGCACUACAAACAAACAAUCCCAAGAUGGAAUGUAGUCCUCCUAAAAAGGAGAUAUAGUACAAAGAGCUGAGUCCCUUCAAAGACUGAAAGGCGGGCUUCACUCAGAUGCCUACCUGGUUAUGUGCGCCAAGGAAAGAUCUGAAGUUAUUAAUAAAAGAAAAAGAAGGAGAUAUAAGCAA